GGGGUUGUGGCUCAGCGGUAGAGCGCUCGCCUAGCAUGUGUGAGGCCCUGGGUUAGAUUCUCAGCACCACA
rnacentral:tRNA from 1 species